rnacentral:rRNA from 1 species
AAGGUUGGCUAAUCCUGGUCGGACAUCAGGAGGUUAGUGCAAUGGCAUAAGCCAGCUUGACUGCGAGCGUGACGGCGCGAGCAGGUGCGAAAGCAGGUCAUAGUGAUCCGGUGGUUCUGAAUGGAAGGGCCAUCGCUCAACGGAUAAAAGGUACUCCGGGGAUAACAGGCUGAUACCGCCCAAGAGUUCAUAUCGACGGCGGUGUUUGGCACCUCGAUGUCGGCUCAUCACAUCCUGGGGCUGAAGUAGGUCCCAAGGGUAUGGCUGUUCGCCAUUUAAAGUGGUACGCGAGCUGGGUUUAGAACGUCGUGAGACAGUUCGGUCCCUAUCUGCCGUGGGCGCUGGAGAACUGAGGGGGGCUGCUCCUAGUACGAGAGGACCGGAGUGGACGCAUCACUGGUGUUCGGGUUGUCAUGCCAAUGGCACUGCCCGGUAGCUAAAUGCGGAAGAGAUAAGUGCUGAAAGC